UGAAUAAGCGCAGAGACUAUAGGAGGUAUGUUAAAAGUAAGUUGGGUGAGGUCCCAAGUAUUCUGUAGGAGUGGAGUGUAAAUAGUGAGGGGUUGAAGAUUUUUUGGAAUUGAUCUAAUAAGGAGAUUGCUGGAAGCAAAAUUAGUAGGUACCAAAAUGUCCUUCAAUAAAUUGAUUAAAGUUCCAAACAAGGACGGAG
rnacentral:lncRNA from 1 species